ncrna:unclassified sequences Glutamine riboswitch
AACGUUCAUCCAUAUAGGACGGAAGUAGACUACUCAGUCGAAGGAACGCAUU